rnacentral:rRNA from 1 species
AUUGAACGCUGGCGGCAUGCCUAACACAUGCAAGUCGAACGAUGAACCUUAGCUUGCUAGGGGGAUUAGUGGCGAACGGGUGAGUAACAUAUCGGAGCGUACCUAGUAAUGGGGGAUAACUAGUCGAAAGAUUAGCUAAUACCGCAUACGCCCUGAGGGGGAAAGUAGGGGAUCUUCGGACCUUACGUUAUUAGAGCGGCCGAUAUCUGAUUAGCUAGUUGGUGGGGUAAAGGCCUACCAAGGCGACGAUCAGUAGCUGGUCUGAGAGGACGACCAGCCACACUGGAACUGAGACACGGUCCAGACUCCUACGGGAGGCAGCAGUGGGGAAUUUUGGACAAUGGGGGCAACCCCGAUCCAGCCAUUCCGCGUGAGUGAAGAAGGCCUUCGGGUUGUAAAGCUCUUUCGCAAGGGAAGAAAACUUACGUUCUAAUAAAGUGUGAGGCUGACGGUACCUUGAUAAGAAGCACCGGCUAACUACGUGCCAGCCGCCGCGGUAA